UACGAAGGGGGCUAGCGUUGCUCGGAAUCACUGGGCGUAAAGCGCACGUAGGCGGAUUGUUAAGUCAGGGGUGAAAUCCUGGAGCUCAACUCCAGAACUGCCUUUGAUACUGGCGAUCUCGAGUCCGGGAGAGGUGAGUGGAACUGCGAGUGUAGAGGUGAAAUUCGUAGAUAUUCGCAAGAACACCAGUGGCGAAGGCGGCUCACUGGCCCAUAACUGACGCUGAGGCACGAAAGCGUGGGGAGCAAACAGG
rnacentral:rRNA from 1 species